rnacentral:rRNA from 1 species
GGGUGAGUAAUGCCUAGGAAUCUGCCUGGUAGUGGGGGAUAACGCUCGGAAACGGACGCUAAUACCGCAUACGUCCUACGGGAGAAAGCAGGGGACCUUCGGGCCUUGCGCUAUCAGAUGAGCCUAGGUCGGAUUAGCUAGUUGGUGAGGUAAUGGCUCACCAAGGCGACGAUCCGUAACUGGUCUGAGAGGAUGAUCAGUCACACUGGAACUGAGACACGGUCCAGACUCCUACGGGAGGCAGCAGUGGGGAAUAUUGGACAAUGGGCGAAAGCCUGAUCCAGCCAUGCCGCGUGUGUGAAGAAGGUCUUCGGAUUGUAAAGCACUUUAAGUUGGGAGGAAGGGCAUUAACCUAAUACGUUGGUGUCUUGACGUUACCGACAGAAUAAGCACCGGCUAACUCUGUGCCAGCAGCCGCGGUAAUACAGAGGGUGCAAGCGUUAAUCGGAAUUACUGGGCGUAAAGCGCGCGUAGGUGGUUUGUUAAGUUGGAUGUGAAAUCCCCGGGCUCAACCUGGGAACUGCAUUCAAAACUGACAAGCUAGAGUAUGGUAGAGGG